AAAACAUUUUGGGGAGCUCACAAAUGGGUAAAUUUAAAGCAAAUCUUGUGAGAUUGGAUGUCCAAAUGCGAGCCUGGCAAUUAACCCCCUCCUCAAUCUUCUGCAGCAAAAAUCACCAGUUUGGUGCAAUAAAAAUGUAUAUAAAAGCUGCAGCAGCCCCUCUGGUAAAUCACAGCUGGGAAUAUUUGCAGUAAUUUUAUUUUGGAGCUUUUUUUUUUUCCCUGUUGGGAUGCCAGUGGUUGCAGCAGAGCCUUUCCCAGGAGAGCUGGGCUGGGAGCCUGGAGCACUGGUGGGGGCUGGGAUUUACAUUUGCUCUCUUCUGGCUUUAAUUAGAUCCAGCACAGGGUGUAGGGAAGCAGGGAUUGGUUCUGGGAUGGGCUGGGACACUGACCCAGCCAGGAUGUUGGAAACCCACCCGGGAUUUCCUGGGACUCUUGACACCUCCAGCAAUACUGACUCCCUUCCAAAUGCCCUUUCUGGGAAGGAAUUUUCCCUCCCACCCAUCCUAAACCUGCCCUGGUACAUCUUGGGGCCGUUUCCUCUCAUCCUGUUGUUCCUUGGGAGCAGAGCCUGGCUCCAGCCUCCUUCCAGAGCGAAAACUCCCCCGUGGAGUUUGGAACGGGGAGAAGACAAAAGUUGGGAAGGAAUCUUUGCGUUCCUGCUGCCCAAGCUCAGGGUGGGUCCACCUGAGAGGGAAAUGUUCCUCAUGGGAUGCCUGCUGGGCUCUGGGGAGAUGUGGAAGGCUGGAAAAGCAAUUCCCUGUAAACAGCACACUGCCACUUCCUUCCCCUGCCCAGAGAGGAAAUUCCUUCCCCUCAAGAAAGGGAUUCUCCUCCGUGCUCCAGAAACUUCCUUUCUCUUCCCACCGUGUUCAGAUGUGGCUGGGGAAAAGGAGAAACCCUCCCUUAUUCCCACUUGAAACUUCAUUUUGUGAAACAAAAUCCUUGGAUGUCACCUUGGGACUUCACUUGGGGCACCAGCGGCAUCCCAAAUCGAGCAGAA
rnacentral:lncRNA from 1 species